rnacentral:rRNA from 1 species
AUGAAACCUCUUUCAGACGUUGUGUCAAGAAUGCUCUUCUAUAAAAGAGUAUUUAAUGAGAAAGGGUGUCCUCAAGAGUUGGUGCAAGUAUCCAAAGACAUUUUGAAAAAAUGUGGUGGCAUACCAUUAGCUAUUAUUUCUAUAGCAAGUCUUCUGGCUAAUAAUCAUGAGAUGAAAACAAAGGACCAAUGGUAUGCUUUGCUCAAUUCCAUUGGUCGCGGACUUACAGAAGAUUGCGGUUUGGAGCAGAUGAAAAAGAUAUUAUUAUUCAGUUAUUAUGAUCUACCUUCGUAUCUAAAACCUUGUUUGUUAUAUCUUAGCAUCUUCCCAGAAGAUCACAAGAUUAUGAAAGGAAAGCUAAUAUGGAGAUGGAUAUCAGAAGGUCUUGUUUAUAGUGAAAAACAAGAAACUGACUUAUAUGGGCUUGGUAACAACUACUUCAAUGAACUUGUAAAUAGAAGUAUGAUCCAGCCAAUUUGCAUUGAUGAUAGAGAAGAUAAACAAGCGUGUCGUGUACAUGACAUGGUGCUUGAUCUCAUAUGCUCACUGUCAAGUGAAGAAAACUUCGUCACAAUUUUGGAUGGCACCGGAAGAAAAAUGCCUAAUUUGGUUCGCAGAUUGUCCAUCCAAAAUAGCAAGAUGGAUGUUGAUAUUUCUAGGAUGGCACACAUGAGAUCUAUUACCAUUUUCACCAAUAAGGUUGUCGGGAAACUGUUGGAUAUUUCAAGUUUUCAAGUUCUUCGUGUGUUGGAUUUCGAAGGUUGUGAUAUCUCGGAUAUUGGGUAUGUGGGAGAUCUUUUACAUCUGAGGUACUUAGGACUAAGAUAUACUCAUGUUGAGGACCUUCCCACUGAAAUUGGGAAGCUACAAUUUUUGCUUACCUUGGAUUUAAGAGGUACUAAGAUAAAAGUUCUGCCAUCAAGUGUUGUUCAUCUAAGACGUCUGAUGUGCCUGCAUGUUGACUAUCAUAUGAAGCUGCCGUCUGGGAUAAGUAAUCUGGUUUCCCUAGAAGUGCUAGGUACAAUGAUGAUGUUUGACAAGGACCUCAAUGCUGUGAAAGAAUUGGGCCAUCUGACCAAGCUCAGGGUGCUCCAAGUUUACUACCAUGUUGAUGAGAUCCUGGAUAAAGCUUUGAUGAGAUCUCUUAGUAAUCUGUACAAACUGGACAGUCUAGAUAUUUAUGUCCGUGGUGGAGAAAUCAAUUUCCUGAGCGAAGAUUGGGUGCCUCCUCUGCAACUCCGUAGAUUGGCUUUCUCGUUACCGUCGAGUUGGUUCAAGACACUGCCAUCAUGGAUCAAUGCUUCAUCGCUUUCUCUCCUCACCUAUCUUCAUAUAAAGGUGGUUAAAGUGUCAUCGGAGGCCAUCCAACUUAUUGGGAUGCUUCCUGCUCUUUGUGUUCUCGAGAUAAUGGAUAUUUCUAAGUUCUAUGAAGAGCGUGUGGUGGAAAUGUCCGCCCUUUCCUCUGUUGCGUUAUUCCCGUGUGCGACGGAGUGUCACUUCCUUUGUAUUGGUGCAGUGCCAUCUAUGUUUCCACGAGGAGCUGCACCGAGGCUUAAGCACCUUGGCUUCACCUUCUCAGCUAAGUGGAUCACCCGUGAAAACAUCGAUUUGUGCAUGUGCCACCUCCCUUCCUUGGAGCGAGUUGAGGUUAAAGUUAUUAAGGAGGAAGCUAGUGAUCGCGAGGUGUAUGAAGCAAAGGUAGUGCUGAGGGCCGCAGCAGAGGACCACCCCAACCAUCCCGUCCUUGACUUACAUUGA